GCACUUCAGUAUAGCUCAGUCAGUAGAGCAUGAGACUCUUAAUCUCUGGGUCAUGAGUUCAAGCCCUACAUUGGGCA